AUGAGAGGACAGUACUGUUCAAGCGGCGCAUUUUUGAUCUUGCUUGCCAUCAUUGGUGUGUGCAAUGCUCAACUUUCCAACUUGAUGCCACAAGAAUUUCCAGAGGAACUCAUCAUUCAUGUUGAUAGGGGUUCUAGCAACAGUGACACAAAUGGAACAAGAUGGGCAGUUCUUGUUGCUGGCUCUAUGGGUUAUGGCAACUAUAGGCAUCAGGCUGAUGUUUGUCAUGCAUAUCAAAUUUUGAAGAAUGGUGGACUCAAAGAUGAAAACAUCAUUGUUUUCAUGUACGAUGACAUUGCAAACAACCCUGAGAAUCCAAGGCCUGGUGUCAUCAUCAACAAGCCCGACGGCGGCGAUGUUUACCAUGGAGUUCCCAAGGAUUACGCAGGAGAGAAUGCUACUGCUGCUAAUCUCUAUGCUGUCAUUCUCGGAGAUAAAUCAAAUCUCUCUGGGGGUAGUGGCAAAGUUCUGAACAGCGGGCCAAAUGACAAUGUCUUCAUCUAUUACACCGACCAUGGAGGGCCUGGGAUCAUCGGGAUGCCUGAAGGCGAUUUUGUGUAUGCCGAUGAUCUGGUGGGUGUUCUAAUAAAGAAGCAUGAAGCUAAUGCAUACAAAAACAUGGUAUUUUAUCUCGAAGCUUGUGAAUCCGGGAGUAUGUUCGAGGGUCUACUCCCAACAAAUAUAAGCAUUUAUGCAACCACAGCUUCAAAUGCAACUGAGAGUAGUUGGGGAACUUACUGCCCUGAUAUGGAUCCUCCUCCACCUCCUGAAUAUGACACUUGCUUGGGUGAUUUGUACAGUGUUUCUUGGAUGGAGGACUCUGACUUGCAAGAUUUACGCCAAGAGACUCUGGAAGAGCAAUAUCAAUCGGUUAGAUGGAGGACAGUAAAUAAUACGUAUGGUUCUCAUGUUACUCAAUAUGGAAAUAUGUAUCAAUCCUCAGAUGCAGUAUCCUUUUACUUGGGUGCAAAUGAUAACUCUACCUCCAUCGAGAGCAAAUCGACACAAUCAAUCUUAGAAGUUGUUGACAAUCGCGAUGCAGAUCUUCUUCAUCUGUGGCACAAGUUCCAACGUGCACCCGCUGGUUCUGAAUUGAAGCAGGAAGCUAAAAGGGUUCUGGAUGAAGAAAUCUCAAGCAGGCAGCGCAUCGACAACAACAUAAACCAAAUCGGACAACUUGUGUUGGGAGAUUCAUCAGGUAACUCUGUUCGUCCCGGGAGGCAAGCUCUUGUUGAUGAUUGGGACUGCUUUAAGGCGAUUGUGAAAACUUAUGAGAAACAUUGUGGAAAAUUGUCAAAUUAUGGAAUGAAGCACACACGAGUGUUUGCCAAUAUGUGCAAUGCUGGGAUCAGCGUGGACCAAGUGGUUGCUGCAUCAGCUCGAACUUGCUAGACUGCAACUUCUUCCCCCUUAUUUAUUUUGAAAGAAAAUAAUGUGGAUGUAAAUGAUAAAAUGAUGGGCCGCUAG